UUAGCUGAAGACCAUCUUGCUAAUUACCAGGUGGCACCUGCCACCUUAUAUCUAGGCAGCUGACUGCAUGUCUCCCAAUUCUCCACCUGUUGCGGAGAACCUACUUGGUUGUAGUGGCGUGGGAGCAGCAGGCUGUUUGGGCUGGUGCUGUCCUGUUGGGUGUUUGAGGAACAAUCCUGAGUAAGUUUGUCUUGUGGUUCAACGGUGAGUCAUUUGCUCUGAUUUGAGCUUCUGCUUAAGGCAGCCUCGUAUCCAAUUCAGUGUAGAACUGUGGCCGUGCCCCUCCUCCACAUGCAGGGGACAACUGUACUUCAGCGAACCCGGAACUGGUGGUUGACCAUCUUCAAGCUUGCUGCUUCCAUGCCACCUGAUGCUGUCGCCCUGUCUUCUGCUGCUUAUGUUUUAUGUUUGUACCGUGUUUUGUUCUCGUCUUGAAUGUUUGAGUGAAUGCAACCCCCUCUCUGUGCAUACGUGCAGGUUGCGACCUUAAAGCUGACCAGGUGGUUGCGCUCAUGCAGCCUGACCUCCAGGAGCUGUUGGGCCAAAGUGGGUGGCAAGCUGACUCCCAGGUGGUGGUUUCCCUUCACUGUCCUUUGUAAUUGCUGUGCAUCAAGUGUGUGCUGUGUUCACCUGUGUUGUGCUGUGCCUGGAUCCUACCCCUUGUUAGCCUCUUGCUAGCCCUGGUGAGCCCACUGCCCUGUUCCCGGCCUAUUGGACCUUGUGCAAUAUCUGUGUGCAACCUGCUUGUAUGUGGGUGUAUCUUGUAUAUGAUUAGUCUCUUGUGGUUGUAUUCCUGUUUGUGUUUUCUCUGUGCAGUCCAUAAUGGACCUGUUAUUGUUAUGUGUCAAUCAAUUUGUCAUUUUAGAACCAUGUCUCUAGUCUCAGUGUUGCAAACAUGUGUGCCCAAAGGGUAGUGAUGGGCAAAUGAAGCUUUGGUGAACCACUGAACCACAGCAGUGUGAACCUAGCGACACUAGCUGAAAAGCAAAAAGAUGGC